AUUGAACGCUGGCGGCAGGCCUAACACAUGCAAGUCGAGCGAGCGGCGGACGGGUGAGUAAUGUCUGGGAAACUGCCUGCUGGAGGGGGAUAACUACUGGAAACGGUAGCUAAUACCGCAUAACAUCAGAUGUGCCCAGAUGGGAUUAGCUAGUAGGUGGGGUAACGGCUCACCUAGGCGACGAUCCCUCGCUGGUCUGAGAGGAUGACCAUCCACACUGGAACUGAGACACGGUCCAGACGCCGACGGUAGUAAGCAGGGGGGAAUAUGGCACAAUGGGCGCAAGCUUGAUGCAGCCAUGCCGCGUGGGUGAAGAAGGCCUUCGGGUUUGAAAGCACUUUCAGCGGGGAGUCGUUACCCGCAGAAGAAGCACCGGCUAAGUCCGUGACAGCAGGCGCGGUAAUUC
rnacentral:rRNA from 1 species